UACGAACUGCGCGAACGUUAUUCGGAAUCACUGGGCUUACAGGGUGCGUAGGCGGCGGAGAAAGUAGGGUGUGAAAUGCCUUGGCUCAACCAAGGCACAGCGCUCUAAACUACUUCGCUCGAGUGAGUCAGGGGUGCACGGAACUUCCGGUGGAGCGGUGAAAUGUGUUGAUAUCGGAAGGAACACCGGUGGCGAAAGCGGUGCACUGGGGCUCAACUGACGCUGAGGUGCGAAAGCGUGGGGAGCAAACAGG
rnacentral:rRNA from 1 species